rnacentral:lncRNA from 1 species
CCCUUCAUGCAGCAUCUGCCUCUGAUAUCAUUACCUUCCACCUUCUUGAAUAACUAAGGGUUUGAAGGUUGCUGGUGAUGUCAUUAUCUAUCUAUUUAAUAAAAUAAAUACUUAAAAGCGUAAGGCUGGUUCUACUGAAACCUUAAACGGUCAUGUUUCUUAAUUAUGUAUUUUCUUAAACCUUAAGAAUUAAGGAUUGUGUGAUCAGUAGCUUGCUGCUUUAACUUCUUGUGGAUUGAAUGUGUUUCAACACUACGUAUGAUAAUAUAUUUGACGGUUUCCUACUGAUAUCAUCGUAUGAAACCCUUCUCUUUGUCUAAGAUUCCUUUGUCAUUCUCUCUAUAUGCAUGCUUGAGAUUUAGCCUCCUUUAUGUAUUGCUUGCGUACCCAAAACUCAAGGGCAAUUGUUUUAUGGAUACACAUCCAGACAUCCUCCAACUAUAAUCUGAAGCCUUUUAUGAUUCCCCUACUUGUAUUAUAAGUAUAUAUAACUAGAUGUUUUGUCCGCACAUGCGGACUUAAUCGUUUUACAAAUAUAUAUUAGUUUAUAUUUUAUUAAUUCAAAAAUCAGCAUGAUAACUUAUUAUUUAUGUUUUCAAAAACAUUAAAUCAAACAUCAAAUUAUAUAUAUAUAUAUGACAUAAAUUUAAAUAAAAUAUAUAUGUUUAUUAUUGUGCUGAAAUUUUAAAAGAAAACAUUCACAUAUUAAAAAUAUUUUAGUAAAUAUAUUUAUACAAAUUUAGUUGAUUAAUAUUUAAUUAUAAAUUUUUAUUUGUUAUUUUUUAACUUUUAUAAUUGAAAAAACAAAUUUUAAGAUAACAACAUAAUAUAUAAGAAUUAUUUUUUUUUAAAAAAUAAUAUUAUUAAUAAAAAUUCGUUUUAAUUAUAUUUAUAACUGAAAAAUAUGUUUUAAGAUAACAACACAAUGUAAAAAUUAUCUUUUUAAAAAAAAUAAUAUUAUUAUAAAUAAAAAUUCAUUUUGAUUAUAUAGUUAAUUAUAGAUAAAUUCAUUAAAGGUAGUAUAUAUAUUAAUCGCUCUAACUUUUAACGUGAGAACUCCGUUGCUAAAAAAAAUUUCGCAAAUAAUAGUAUAGAUUUGUAUAUUUUAAAAGUGAGACCAUUCUACGAAAGACCAUUCUAAAAAAUGAUACAAUUUUGUAGUUUGGCUGUGCAGUCUUUGAACUUCUACCGCUAUUUAAGGUUCAUUUACUUGUUUAAGUUUUUACUUCAACUUAAGUAGUUAACCGAAUUAGUUAAUAAGGUUGUAAAAAGAAGCCAAGAAAACAAAAGAAAAAGGAGAAAGAGGCCAAGACAUUGAUUGUUCAGAAGCAACGAGUAAAAGCCCUCAAAUGAAAUACUAGGCGAUGAAGUUGGGCUUGUUUGAUACUCAAUUUAAUGCAUUUAAUGAUCUAAAAUAAACCCAAAAUUUCAAAAUAGUAGUAGCACUUGAAAGUAAACCGAAAAUAGACAAUUAUGGUUUAUUUAGUUUAAAACCGUAUAUCUAUAAUAUCUAAACCGUAACGAGCAAUAACAAAUAUCGUUUUAACCGAAAAAUAACCAAGAACCGGGACCGAUAAACCGAAAAUCAGCAUCAAGUAAAUGUGAUAUCGUCCGUCUCUGAGAAAGUGAGAAGAGAGCACGCACAUCAUCUCUUUGCUUUCAUCAUCUCCUUCAUCACCAAGCCAAGUCUCUCAAGGUACUCUCUCUCUCUCUUCCUUGCUCAAUUUCCUCUUCUCUUUUCAUUGAUUGCUUUGUCUCCAUACUCUCCUCCCGGAGCUCCGAUCUUUAAAUUGCGAGCAUCCGAUCAUUUUCUCCGGUUCCGAAUCGGAGAUUAUCAAUACCAUCAGUAACCUAGUCUCUCCGAUUUAGCGAUUCACUGUUAAUCAUCUUCGUGCUCGUGUGUUUUAGGGAUUUGAUUGUGAUUCCAUAUAUGUUAGGUAUCGCAAUCCAGAUCUGAUCGGUUGACUUGUACUCUAGAGAAAUGAGUCAGCAGAAAGGAUUGAUUUACAGCUUCGUAGCCAAAGGAACCGUCGUUUUAGCGGAGCAUACUCCUUACUCAGGAAACUUUAGCACCAUUGCUGUUCAGUGUCUCCAGAAGCUUCCCAAAAAUAGCAGCAAGUAUACUUACUCUUGCGAUGGCCACACCUUCAAUUUCCUUGUCGAAAACAAUGGUUUCGGUGAGAUUUAUUUAUCUAUUUAUUCAUUAGCCUUUCUAUAUUAUAUUCAGUGCUCGUUAGUUUGUUAGUUAGUUGAAGCUUCGGUUUUUUCAGUUCCUUGAUUGUGUGUAUAUGUAUGUAGUGUUUCUUGUGGUUGCUGAUGAGUCCACUGGAAGAAGUGUUCCUUUCGUGUUCCUUGAGCGGGUUAAGGAAGAUUUCAAGAAGCGGUAUGAGGCGAGUAUAAAGAACGAUGAGCCGCACCCUCUUGCAGAUGAUGAUGAAGACGAUGAUUUGUUUGGGGAUCGGUUUAGCAUUGCGUACAAUCUUGACAGGGAGUUCGGGUCUGUCUCUAACCAUUGUUUUCAUUGUUUCCAUUGCGAGAGAGUUCUCAGUGUUUUUUUCCCUGUCAAACAGGCCUAUACUUAAGGAGCAUAUGCAGUAUUGUAUGAGCCAUCCUGAAGAGAUGAGCAAACUUUCAAAGUUGAAGGCCCAAAUUAAUGAUGUCAAGGGGAUCAUGAUGGACAACAUUGAGAAGGUACGAUUUUGGAGACAUUUAAUUAACAGUUGCACACCACUCCUGUAUUUUUGGCUUGAUUUGAUAGGAAUUUUAUCUGCAAGGUAUAAACACAUGGUUUUUACAGAAAAUGAAAAAAAAAACAUUGUAGAGAAGGAUACUAAACAAGUCAUCACUUCUAGAAGAGCUAUUUGAUAUCAACAGACUGGUUUAUUUUUUUCAUGGUAGUUGUGCUGAUAAAAUUAUCGAAUGUUUUUCUUGCAACAGUUCGUCAUUUGUCUAUAUUUAGUGGGGUAUAUUCUGUGCUGAUUACUCUGUUAUAUCUCCAUAGGCCAAUUGAUGUUAGAUCUGUGAUGUGCUGAGUCUGUUAGAAAUUAAGAAGUUGCAUGCAGCUAACAAGUCUUGGAUUGCUGUUAUGCCUUCGGACCAGCUGAAAGUUUGUUAGACUAGGGAAAAUGGUAUUCUGUGAUGGUCUAUUAUGAAUGCGUAUCUUUUAGCUCAUCAGUAUUAGCAAUGAUGAGUCAUAUAGUUCUGGUAGGAAUGUAUGCAAUGGGGAAGUCUAAAAGAUAUGCUAAAUGGGAUUAUUACAUGAACUCCCCCGCUUCUCACCACAGGAAUUAAUUGUACUAUAGUGAUGACACAACUCAUAAUAUUAUCAUAUGUCGCUUUUCACUAUGGAUCAUGUUUCUAUUUACCUGAAGUUUAAGGUAUAAAUAUGCUAUAAACAAAGGAACUGCAGUUAUGGGAAUGAAAUCCAGUUUUUUCGUGUUGGAAAAGGUUAGGCAAACUGGACCUAGGACCAUUUAGUAUAAACAAAAUGAGAAUUUUUCAGAGUAUGCCAGUAGGUGCUGAUUCUGAGAAAUGAUGAGGCGAUACAGCUCUUUUUGAUGAUUCUCUUGUUGAUACUGUUUCAGGUUCUAGACAGAGGAGAGAAGAUAGAACUGCUGGUAGACAAAACAGAGAACCUACAGUUCCAAGCGGAUAGCUUCCAAAGACAAGGGAGGCAGCUAAGAAGGAAGAUGUGGAUACAGAGCCUGCAGAUGAAGCUGAUGGUGGGAGGUGCUAUUUUGUCCUUUAUUCUCAUCGUUUGGGUUGUUGCUUGUGGUGGUUUUAAAUGCUCGUCAUGAUGUUUUGCUCUCGUUUGUUUCUGUUUGAUCGUCACCACCUUGUUUUCACACGUAAAACGCAUGCUCAUGUUUGUACAUGUUGGAACUUAUAAUAACAUAUCAUGAUCAUCACUCCCACAAGCUUAUCUAUAAUGCUAUAUAUGCACACGCAAAAAUAGAUCAAGUUUCUGGUGUGUGCUUGCUUUCAGUGAUUCUUAAAUUUAGUUCUUCGAAAUUCCUGUUCUUAUUAUUACCUUGUUUAUACAGUUCAUGACUUCUUUUUUGCAUUUGCAUAAAUUCAUUAGAAAAACUCUGGAGUUUUGAGAAAAAUUAAUAUUAAAAAUAUCGACGUAUCUUAGAAUCAAAGAAAUCCAAAAAUACAUUUAAAUAUGUCAAAAACCAAGAUAAGUGAUUUAGAUUACCUUUAAAUCUGUGGAAGAUGAAGCAAAGAUCAAAAGGGGAAGCGUAAAGGCGAGUUAAGUAGGGGCAAAGAUCACAUGGGGCAGAACACAAAGUCAUUCGCCGUGGCCAUGAGCAUGACACUUGUUUCUCGUUUGUGAAGCGGAUAAUG